rnacentral:rRNA from 1 species
AUGACCCGCUUGCAUCAUAGGCGUGUCUCAAUGGCUAGGUCGAACAGGUCUUCUUCUAGUGCCUCCGUAGGAAACAAUGGAUCAACUCAGUCAACUGUACAGGCUAAAAAGCCUAGAACACCAAGAACUAGGACUUCAGCCGGUCUCAGACUAGAGGAAAUUGACCGACCGCUUAUAGUUCCCGUUGGCAUGGCAUGGGAAAGGCACCCAUACAACGCUCGUGAUCCAUCAACGCUGCUAGGUGCCUUAGUGCGCCAGAUGUAUCCACCGCCAAUUGGUCCAAAAAAUGACCAGAAACCGGUAUUGUGUUGGGAGGACUACAAGUGGUCCCCUGGUCCAGAAGUAAGAACAGCAGCUUCCAAAAUAGUGGAAGAAUUUUGGUGGCGUUUCAAGUGUGACCCAUCGGAGCAAGAGAAGGCAGAUGGUGUUUUGGAGGAGAACUUAACUAGGAAAGUGAAGCAGAUGCUACAUGAGGAAAAGGCAGCAGCCAUCAAAAGAUUAAAGAAGAAGGGACAAUUGCCUACAGAACUAACAGAAGAGGAUGAGGAUGGUAACCGCUGGCCAACUAAGGAAGCUUUAAUUGCUGCAAAGAGAGUUGACUUUGGUACAGACGUUGGUUGGCGUCUACUAUGUGAGCACUGGAGUAGUACUGAAUUUAGAGGGUUAUCUUUAACCAACAAAAGGAACAGACUUGCUAAUGGGGACACGGUCUUCCAUUGCAGUGGUGCUAGAAAUGUUGUCGCCACACGUCAAUUUCUGAAACUCAAAACCGGGAAAGACCCUGGAAUUUCUGGUGCUUGGCUUCACACGCACAAAUUGCAUCGAGGGACUAAUGAAGAGCAGAUAUGCAGUCAAAGAACUGCUGAUCAUUGGGAGGAUUUUGAUAAGGCAAUGAAAAAUGCCCAUGGAGAAAAUUGGGAAGAGGAGCACCCGGAUUUAGAUGGACAAAUCAUCUACGAAGCAGCAGGCAGAAUGCCACAUGGCAGGCUGGGAAUUGCUAAUGAGUUGUUUAGCAAAGCAUAG